rnacentral:rRNA from 1 species
GUCUAUGGCCAUGCCACCCUGAACAAACUGGAUCCUGUCUGAUUUCAGAAGUUAAGCAGGGUUGGGCCUGGUUAGUACUUGGAUGGGAGACCACCUAGGAACACCAGGUGCUGUAGGCA